rnacentral:rRNA from 1 species
GACGAACGCUGGCGGCGUGCUUAACACAUGCAAGUCGAACGGAAAGGCCCUGCAUUUGUGGGGUGCUCGAGUGGCGAACGGGUGAGUAACAAGUGAGUAACCUGCCCUUGACUUUGGGAUAACUUCAGGAAACUGGGGCUAAUACCGGAUAGGAGCUCCUGCUGCAUGGUGGGGGUUGGAAAGUUUCGGCGGGUGGGGAUGGACUCGCGGCUUAUCAGCUUGUUGGUGGGGUAGUGGCUUACCAAGGCUUUGCCGGGUAGCCGGCCUGAGAGGGUGACCGGCCACAAUGGGACUGAGAUACGGACCAGACUCGUACGGGAGGCAACAGUGGGGAAUAUUGCACAAUGGGCGGGAGCCUGAUGCAGCAACGCCGCGUGCGUGAUGACGGCCUUCGGGUUGUAAACCGAUUUCGCCUGUGACGAAGCGUGAGUGACGGUAAUGGGUAAAGAAGCACCGGCUAACUACGUG